GCUCAGGACGAACGCUGGCUGCGUGCUUAACACAUGCAAGUCGAACGCUGAAGCCUGGUGCUUGCACCGGGUGGAUGAGUGGCGAACGGGUGAGUAACACGUGAGUAACCUGCCCCUGACUUCGGGAUAAGCCCGGGAAACUGGGUCUAAUACCGGAUACGACUGCCGGACGCAUGUCUGGUGGUGGAAAGUUUUUUCGGUUGGGGAUGGGCUCGCGGCCUAUCAGUUUGUUGGUGAGGUAAUGGCUCACCAAGACGACGACGGGUAGCCGGCCUGAGAGGGCGACCGGCCACACUGGGACUGAGACACGGCCCAGACUCCUACGGGAGGCAGCAGUGGGGAAUAUUGCACAAUGGGGGAAACCCUGAUGCAGCGACGCAGCGUGCGGGAUGACGGCCUUCGGGUUGUAAACCGCUUUCAGCAGGGAAGAAGCGCAAGUGACGGUACCUGCAGAAGAAGUACCGGCUAACUACGUGCCAGCAGCCGCGGUAAUACGUAGGGUACGAGCGUUGUCCGGAAUUAUUGGGCGUAAAGAGCUCGUAGGUGGUUGGUCACGUCUGCUGUGGAAACGCAACGCUUAACGUUGCGCGUGCAGUGGGUACGGGCUGACUAGAGUGCAGUAGGGGAGUCUGGAAUUCCUGGUGUAGCGGUGAAAUGCGCAGAUAUCAGGAGGAACACCGGUGGCGAAGGCGGGACUCUGGGCUGUAACUGACACUGAGGAGCGAAAGCAUGGGGAGCGAACAGGAUUAGAUACCCUGGUAGUCCAUGCCGUAAACGUUGGGCACUAGGUGUGGGGGGCAUUCCACGUUCUCCGCGCCGUAGCUAACGCAUUAAGUGCCCCGCCUGGGGAGUACGGUCGCAAGGCUAAAACUCAAAGGAAUUGACGGGGGCCCGCACAAGCGGCGGAGCAUGCGGAUUAAUUCGAUGCAACGCGAAGAACCUUACCAAGGCUUGACAUACACCGGACCGUCCUGGAAACAGGUCCUCUUCUUUGAAGCUGGUGUACAGGUGGUGCAUGGUUGUCGUCAGCUCGUGUCGUGAGAUGUUGGGUUAAGUCCCGCAACGAGCGCAACCCUCGUUCUAUGUUGCCAGCACUGUGAUGGGUGGGAACUCAUAGGAAGA
rnacentral:rRNA from 1 species